UUUCUCUUUUGUCUCUCCCCGUUUUGCUCCCUCUCUUUGCAGUUUGACGUGCUGAAGUGCUUCUUAAGGAGAAUUCUGGGGAGAUUUCGUGCUCUUUUAUUCCUCAAGGAUGAAGCAGCAACGUGAAUCUGUGUACUGAAGCAAGCUCCCACAUUCAAACUUCAACGGCGAGGAUGAAACAUGAGCAAAGAGACGGUUCCCUGCAUGGUGUUGAUAUGGUGAGUGUCUUGAG